rnacentral:lncRNA from 1 species
UUCAUCAUAACCAUAGUGUACAAUCUCCAAACACUCUUGUGAACCAAGGAAUGCCUUUAAUCUGAUGCACCAACUAUCAUAGUUGUCUUUAGUCAGCUUCGGGAUGAGUGUUUGUGUACUUUCUGUAGUCAUUUUGCUCUUAGAAUGACUAUAUCACCUUCUGUGAGUUGAAUUUGGCCAAACGGACACUGUAGAUCGAUCCGGAAUGGUCCAAAUAGUAGGGAACCGGUCUGAAUUUGUAGAAAUCGGGUCCGAAAAUGGGUGAACCGGUCAAAAUACCGAUUCUGGGCGUCGGGCGGUUCGCUGGGGUUGAACCGGGAAUAUUCUGCGGAAUAUUCUAUCGGCUCGGCUUCGGCUAAUAGAGGCUCGGCUUAGCGGCUUGGCUUGAAAAGGGAAUAUUCUCGGGAAUAUUCUUCGGCUCGGCU